GGAACAGGAAGACCAGAAACACCAGAAGAAGGAGGAGAAGAAAUAAUGAGUGAUUGUGUCUACAUUUACGGGAAGAGUUUGAUGUGGUAGAAAUGUUGGUAAAUAUAAUACUCAAACAUGAAAUUCUAAUAAAAUAAUUGAAAGCCUUCAAAGUCAUACAAACACCACAUACAGUAUAUAUAGUAAAUUAAAAUGCUAAUGUACCUUCUUAAAUCAGUUGCUGUUUUUGAAAAUUGUUUCAAAAAUUUGCUUCUCCACUUAGAAGUACGGCUGUUAGAGUCAUACAGUCUAUGUUAAGACUGUUUAGAUUUGUGGUUUCAUAAGGCUUAACAUGUUGAUCUGUUUUUUUAUUUUUAUUUUCUAUUUUAUUUUUGCAUAGCUUCUUUGGAGAAAUUUGUACUCAAAGAAUUACUCAUGUAGAUAUUCCUCUCUCCCUGCCAAUAAAAUUUCAUCCACCUUUGGUUGUGUACAAGGAAGCUAUUGUGUGUCCAAAGAGUCCUCAGGAAGAGAGGCAUGGAUACUCUUCAGCAAAGAUGUAACACAACAGUGGACUCAGUUCUCCAAUAAAAAGACAGACUAAGCUUCCUCUGAAACCCUGGCAUCCUGCUGUGACCAACUUCCAGGGAUCCUAGAAUCCUAAGGCCUAGGUGUGGUACAGCAUCUGGAACAGGCAAGGAGACCGAUCCCAGAGAGACUGCUGGAAUAAAUUUGGAGUUGAGUGAGAAAAAAAGAUGGUAGGCUUACACCUUUGGCAUUUACAUCUAACAUAUUUGCCAGUCGGAGUCAAGCAGAGCUAAAGAAAUUUAUUCACACAGAAAAUAUUCCAGUAAUGUUCCUGGUUGAUGUUUAGCUCUCAUCUUGUACGAAGCUCUUGCUGUAGAUUGACAAGAAGCAGCUUUUACUAGAAGGAAGCUUGCUCGGGAAACCUUCAGAUGAAAAUGAAAAGAAAACGUCACCGAGGCCAGAGGCGGAGGCAGCGCCUGCGACAACGACAACAACAGCAAGAGGAACAACAUGAGCAGCAGCAGAACCAGCAGCAGCAACAGCAGAAUCAGCAGCGGCAACAGCAACAGCAACAGCAACAGCAGC